rnacentral:rRNA from 1 species
UCCUAGCCGUAAACGAUGAGCACUAGGUAAGGGGGGAGCAUAUUUCUCUCUUUGCCGUAGCUAAUGUGUUAAGUGCUCCGCCUGGGGAGUACGCUCGCAAGGGUAAAACUCAAAGGAAUUGACGGGGGCUCACACAAGCGGUGGAGCAUGUGGUUUAAUUCGAAGCAACGCGAAGAACCUUACCUAGCCUUGACAUAUGCGGAUUAGUCCUGUGAAAGCAGGGUGACAGCUCC